ACUAGGGUGAAGAAUUGUGAAAACCCUCAAUAUUUAGCUCGGGAUGAAUGGAUUAGAGGGUAGUUAGCGAUCGUGUGAGUUGGUCUGUUAAGGACUCAAACUUUAAAUUAGGAAUAAGUUAUCGUAUAUGACGGUGGUGUGUAUGCAAAAUCAUUGGAAACCAUUCAAGAAUAGCCUUUGAAUCAGAGGGGGAACAUACUCUGUCAAUAUCAAAUUCAAAGUGAAAGAAAAGCAGCGCACCAUAUUAUCUAGGGUCUCACUAUGAUAAUCAAAAGGCAUUUCCAAAACGUCUAUCCUUCCUAUGUCUAUGGAUUCCUUAUUCUUACAAGUUUGAUGAAAGUACAUCCAAUGGCCAAUGCUGAUGAUUUGGGAAAAAUGUGCAACUCGACUCAAACAAACCAGACAAAUUGCACAAGGAAUGAGACUGGUUCUCGUAAUCAAAGUGAUGUAAGUUUAUAAACAAAAACUCUAUUGUAUGUAACUGCAAAAA